rnacentral:rRNA from 1 species
AUUGAACGCUGGCGGCAGGCCUAACACAUGCAAGUCGAGCGGAUGAAGGGAGCUUGCUCCUGGAUUCAGCGGCGGACGGGUGAGUAAUGCCUAGGAAUCUGCCUGGUAGUUGGGGAUAACGUCCGGAAACGGGCGCUAAUACCGCAUACGUCCUGAGGGAGAAAGUGGGGGAUCUUCGGACCUCACGCUAUCAGAUGAGCCUAGGUCGGAUUAGCUAGUUGGUGGGGUAAAGGCCUACCAAGGCGACGAUCCGUAACUGGUCUGAGAGGAUGAUCAGUCACACUGGGACUGAGACACGGUCCAGACUCCUACGGGAGGCAGCAGUGGGGAAUAUUGGACAAUGGGCGAAAGCCUGAUCCAGCCAUGCCGCGUGUGUGAAGAAGGUCUUCGGAUUGUAAAGCACUUUAAGUUGGGAGGAAGGGCAGUAAGUUAAUACCUUGCUGUUUUGACGUUACCAACAGAAUAAGCACCGGCUAACUUCGUG